GACAGAGGGUGCAAACGUUGUUCGGAAUUACUGGGCGUAAAGCGCGUGUAGGCUGCUUCGCAAGUCGGAUGUGAAAGCCCUGGGCUCAACCUAGGAAGUGCAUUCGAAACUGCGAAGCUCGAGUCCUGGAGAGGAAGGCGGAAUUCUCGGUGUAGAGGUGAAAUUCGUAGAUAUCUGGAGGAACACCGGUGGCGAAGGCGACAUCCUGGACCGGUAUUGACGCUGAGGCGCGAAAGCCAGGGGAGCAAACGGG
rnacentral:rRNA from 1 species